rnacentral:rRNA from 1 species
UACGAAGGGGGCUAGCGUUGUUCGGAAUUACUGGGCGUAAAGCGCGCGCAGGCGGUUCUUCAAGUCAGAGGUGAAAGCCCAGAGCUCAACUCUGGAAUGGCCUUUGAGACUAGAGAACUAGGGUACGGGAGAGGUGAGUGGAAUUCCGAGUGUAGAGGUGAAAUUCGUAGAUAUUCGGAAGAACACCAGUGGCGAAGGCGGCCAACUGGGCCGACCCUGACGCUGAGGCGCGAAGGCGUGGGGAGCAAACAGG